UACGGGAGGCAGCAGUGGGGAAUAUUGCACAAUGGGCGCAAGCCUGAUGCAGCCAUGCCGCGUGUAUGAAAAAGGCCUUCGGGUUGUAAAGUACUUUCAGUCGUGAGGAAGGUGUUAAGGUAUAACCUUAGCAAUUGACGUUAGCGACAGAAGAAGCACCGGCUAACUCCGUGCCAGCAGCCGCGGUAAUACGGAGGGUGCGAGCGUUAAUCGGAAUUACUGGGCGUAAAGGGCACGCAGGCGGUUAAUUAAGUUGGAUGUGAAAUCCCCGGGCUUAACCUGGGAAUGGCAUUCAAGACUGGUUAGCUAGAGUCUUGUAGAGGGGGUAGAAUUCCAUGUGUAGCGGUGAAAUGCGUAGAGAUGUGGAGGAUACCGGUGGCGAAGGCGGCCCCUGGACAAAGACUGACGCUCAUGUGCGAAAGCGUGGGGAGCAAACAGGGAUUAGAUACC
rnacentral:rRNA from 1 species